GUUCCUACGGGGGGCAGCAGUGGGGAAUCUUCCGCAAUGGGCGAAAGCCUGACGGAGCAAUGCCGCGUGAGUGAAGAAGGCCUUCGGGUUGUAAAACUCUGUCCUUAUCGAAGAGAGGUGGGUAUGUGAAUAAUGUACUCAUAGGACGGUAGAUAAGGAGGAAGCCCCGGCUAACUACGUGCCAGCAGCCGCGGUAAUACGUAGGGGGCGAGCGUUGUCCGGAAUCACUGGGCGUAAAGCGUGCGUAGGCUGUUUCGUAAGUCGUGUGUGAAAGGCGCGGGCUCAACCCGCGGACGGCACAUGAU
rnacentral:rRNA from 1 species